AUUGAACGCUGGCGGCACGCCUAACACAUGCAAGUCGAGCGGCAGCGAGACUAGUAGCAAUACUAGUUGUCGGCGAGCGGCGGACGGGUGAGUAACACGUAGGAAUCUGCCCUUAAGCGGGGGAUAACCAAGGGAAACUUUGGCUAAUACCGCAUAAUCUCGAGAGAGCAAAGCUGCCCGCAAGGGUGGCACUUGAGGAGGAGCCUGCGUCCGAUUAGCUAGUUGGUGGGGGAAUGGCCUACCAAGGCGAUGAUCGGUAACUGGUCUGAGAGGACGACCAGUCACACUGGGACUGAGACACGGCCCAGACUCCUACGGGAGGCAGCAGUGGGGAAUAUUGGACAAUGGGGGCAACCCUGAUCCAGCGAUGCCGCGUGAGUGAAGAAGGCCUUCGGGUCGUAAAGCUCUUUAGGUUGGGAAGAAGUGUAUUGGCUGAAUAAUCCAGUACAUUGACGGUACCGACAGAAUAAGCACCGGCAAACUCUGUGCCAGCCGCCGCGGUAAUAC
rnacentral:rRNA from 1 species